rnacentral:lncRNA from 1 species
UCCAGUUCACAAAUGUGACCUUACUAACAGAAACAAGUUUUUUAAUUCUAAGUUCUUGGCUAAAAGGUUCAAUGAGAGGAUAAAAUAACAAUUUAACAUUAGAAUAAUUAUGUUUCAAGAGCUGAUUAGAAAGAAAUUAGGUUUAUAUGUUGGGAAGACAGUUUGUAGGAGGGCAAAAAAUAUUGUGUUGAAAGAGAUAAUGGGUGAUCAUAAAUUGGAGUAUGGAGGAUUUUGGAUUAUAGGGAUGAGUUGCUUAGAUCUAAUCCUGUGUGUAGUGAAACUUAGUGAGGAAACAUUUGAAGGUUUAAGAAAAUUUUUGUUGGGUUCUACAUUUGUUUUGAUGCAAUGAAGAAGUCAUACCUAGAUGGAUGUAGGCCAUGUAUUGGGUUGGAUGGGUGUUUUUUGAAAGGGGUUUGUAAAGGACAACUUCUUGUAGCAGUUUGCAAAGAUGGAAAUAAUCAGAAGCUUUCACUUGCUUGGGCCGUUAUUGAGAUUGAAAAUAUGCAUACAUGGAGGUGGUUUGCCAGCAUUUUAUGCUUCACUUGCUUGGGCUGUUGUUGAGAUUGAAAAUAUGCACACUUGGAAGUGGUUUGUCAGAAUUUUAAAGAGUGAUGUUCAACUUGGAGAUGGUACAAAUCUGACCAUAAUAACAGACGUGCAAAAGGGAAUCCAUCUAUUUUUAUGUUGUUGUUUCUAUGCUACUGUUUUUCUACUAUUUUGCUACAGCUGUCAGCAUUUUUAUGUUAUUGUGUUAAUCUUUCAGGGGCUUGGAACUGCUAUAUCAGACUUACUUCCAAAUUCUGAGCAUAGAAUGUGUGCCAGGCACAUCCUAGCUAACUGGUCAAAGAAAUGGAGGGGCAUAGAUAGAAGGAACUGCUUCUGGAGGUGUGCAAGGUCUACAUAUGAAUGGGAAUUGAAGAAAAAUCUGGAUGAGAUGAAGAAAUUGGGGACUAACAUAGUUGAUGAACUGUUUUAAUACAACAUUGAAAGAUGGAGUAAGGUUUAUUUCAACAUUUUCUGCAAGUCUGAUAGUGUGGACAACAAUAUGGCAGAAUGUUUUAAUGCCUGGAUUUUGGCAGCAAGGCAGAAGACUAUAGUGACAAUGCUUGAAGAAAUCAGGGUGAAGAUGAUGAACAGAAUAGGUUAGCUCAGACAGUUUGGAAACAC